UACGGAGGGAGCUAGCGUUGUUCGGAAUUACUGGGCGUAAAGCGCGCGUAGGCGGCUUUGUAAGUUAGAGGUGAAAGCCCGGGGCUCAACUCCGGAACUGCCUUUAAGACUGCAUCGCUUGAAUCCGGGAGAGGUGAGUGGAAUUCCGGAGUGUAGAGGUGAAAUUCGUAGAUAAUUCGGAAGAACACCAGUGGCGAAGGCGGCUCACUGGACCGGUAUUGACGCUGAGGUGACGAAAGCGUGGGGAGCAAACAGG
rnacentral:rRNA from 1 species